AUGAGCUUCUUCACUGCUAAAGUUCUAGCUAUCAGAGAGAAAGCUAACCAGGCUAUCCCAACAACUGGACCAUCACCAGAUGUGCCGACUGUGGGAACAUACAGGUUCUCCAACGAGCCCUUAAACUCCUUCAGCCCUAUAUAUUUUUCUGAGGCGUCAUCGCUAAUUCAGAAAUCCAAGACCACCACGUGUCUUUUAGAUCCCAUCCCAACACACCUGUUGAAGGAUGUUCUACCACUGAUAGGCAGUUCUAUCCUGGAACAGAUCAAUGGUUCUUUAGUGUCAGGUUAUGUACCCCGGUCCUACAAGGUGGCAGUGAUUAAGCCGUUGCUUAAAAAACCAUCACUGGAUCCUGAUGUCUUAGCAAAUUAUAAGCCAAUAUCCAACCUUCCUUUUAUCUCUAAAGUUCUUGAGAAGGUGGUGGUGACUCAGUUACUGGAGCACCUGCAGAGGAACAGCCUGUUUGAGAUGUUUCAGUCAGGCUUUAGAGGUCAUCACAGCACAGAAACAGCACUUCUUAAAGUCACUAAUGAUCUUCUCAUAGCUUCAGAUCAUGGACUGGUCUCUAUGCUGGUUCUGCUGGACCUCAGUGCUGCUUUUGAUACAGUUGAUCACAGCAUCCUGUUACAUAGACUGGAACAUGUGAUUGGGAUUAAAGAGAAGUUAGUGAAGCUCCAGACCUGUGUUAAAGACAUAAAGUCCUGGAUGUCUUCAAAUUUCCUCCUCCUUAACCCAGGAAAAACUGAGGUCAUGGUGUUUGGUCCUGAACCUCUCUGGGAUAGAUUAGAUCACAUGAUCACUCUAGAUGGUAUCUCAUUAACAUCUAGUCUCUCUGUGAGGAAUCUAGGAGUAACUUUUGAUCAAAAUCUCUCCUUCAACUCACACAUUAAAUUAGUCUCUAGAAGUGCCUUUUUUCACUUGAGGAACAUCACAAAGAUCAGGAAGCUGCUGACGCGGCAUGAUGCUGAAAAGUUAGUCCAUGCAUUUGUUACUUCCAGGCUGGACUACUGUAACUCUUUAUUAUCAGGGUGUCCAAACAACUCUUUAAGAAGCCUCCAGUUGAUACAAAAUGCUGCAGCCAGAGUUCUGACAGGUAUUGACAAAAGAGAUCACAUAACUCCUGUACUGGCGUCGCUUCAUUGGCUGCCCGUUAAAUUUAGAAUAAUUUUUAAAACCCUUCUUUUGACCUACAAGGUCCUCAGAGGCCUAGCUCCAUCCUACCUGGAGGAGCUAGUGAUACCUUAUCAGCCCAAUAUACCGCUCCGCUCUCAGAAUGCUGGUCUACUUGUGGUUCCCAGAGUUUCUAGGAGUAGAAUGGGGGGCCGAGCAUUUAGCUACCAGGCCCCCCUGCUAUGGAACCAGCUCCCUGUCCAGGUACGGGAAGCUGACUCCAUCGCUACUUUUAAGAUCAGACUCAAAACCUACCUCUUUGAAAAAGCUUAUUGUUACUAA
rnacentral:lncRNA from 1 species